UACGGGGGGGGCAAGCGUUGUUCGGAAUUACUGGGCGUAAAGGGCUCGUAGGCGGCCAACUAAGUCGGACGUGAAAUCCCCAGGCUCAACCUGGGAACUGCGUCCGAUACUGGAUGGCUUGAAUUCGGGAGAGGGAUGCAGAAUUCCAGGUGUAGCGGUGAAAUGCGUAGAUAUCAGGAGGAACACCGGUGGCGAAGGCGGGUCUCUGGGCCGAUACUGACGCUGAGGAGCGAAAGCGUGGGGAGCGAACAGG
rnacentral:rRNA from 1 species